GGAGCGGGUCGGACGAUCGCCGGUUGCGGCGCGCAGGCGCCGUCGCCGGAGGAAGGUCCGGACUCCACAGGGCAGGAUGCUGGCUAACGGCCAGGCGCAGCAAGCCGCGAGGCCCAGGGCGACGGAAAGUGGAACAGAAAGCACACCGCCCAAGCGGUGCCGGUUCGCCGGCACCGACGGCAAGGGUGAAAUGGUGAGGUAAGAGCUCACCGCGGACGUGGCGACACGGCCGGCACGCCAAACCCCAUCCGGAGCAACAUCGAAUAGGCACGCG
rnacentral:RNase_P_RNA from 1 species